rnacentral:rRNA from 1 species
UCCUGGCUCAGAUUGAACGCCGGCGGCGUGCUUAACACAUGCAAGUCGCGCGUGAAAGGACUUCGGUCCGAGUAAAGCGGCGCACGGGUGAGUAACGCGUGGAUGAUCUACCCAUGAGUUAGGAAUAACGGCUGGAAACGGUCGCUAAUACCAAAUACGCUCCGAUUUCAACUUCGGGGGAAAGGUGGCCUCUGCUUGCAAGCUACUGCUCAUGGAUGAGUCCGCGUCCCAUUAGCUAGUUGGUGGGGUAACGGCCCACCAAGGCGACGAUGGGUAGCCGGUCUGAGAGGAUGACCGGCCACACUGGGACUGGAACACGGCCCAGACUCCUACGGGAGGCAGCAGUGGGGAAUAUUGCGCAAUGGGCGAAAGCCUGACGCAGCGACGCCGCGUGAGGGGAAUGAAGGUCCUCGGAUCGUAAACCUCUGUCAGGAGGGAAGAACCGCCACGGUGCUAAUCAGCCGUGGUCUGACGGUACCUCCAAAGGAAGCACCGGCUAACUCCGUGCCAGCAGCUGC